CUCAUUAUCCAUCUCAAUCAAAUCCCACCUCAUUACUAAUUUUAUCAAUCCUAUCACACUUAUCAACGAGGCCUGAGUGUUUCUUUGCUACAAGUUGGGUUUAGGUGGUAAUAAGAUAGCAGGGUGGUUGAUUAUUCAAUAGCGAUGAAUCUUUCCUCACGGUAAUCCUAUGACUUUUAUUUUAUAGGUUUUGAGUUGUUGUGACUUCUUUUUAUUUUUUUGUUUUCUUGGAGGGUGGUAAAUGAAUGAAUAUUGAUAAUAAAAUUAGCUUGAUCAUAGGUCGUUCACGAUAUUUGCAAGAUCAAUAUUCCAUCUUCUAAUCGUCUUUUGGUAUUUGUUAGCACAAAGUUUGAGUAAAUCCGAAUAUUUUAUGAUUUUCAUGAUUUGGGCAUGAUAGGAUUUUCUGGAACUUUUUGGUAUUAAUUGAUGUCCUCUCUUAUGAGUCUUGCUUGCUUCAGAUGCUCAAUAUAAAUCUAAUAUUUUCAAAAUUCGGGUACCACCUUUAUGGGGCCAAAAAAUGAAGUUGCACAGGUAAUUGCAUCUAUUUGUGUUGUCUCAUGCAUUAGAUUCUUAUUGUUAAAAGUUAAGUCCAAUUAGUACCAUUAAUGGGUUAUGG
rnacentral:lncRNA from 1 species